rnacentral:rRNA from 1 species
AUUGAACGCUGGCGGCAGGCCUAACACAUGCAAGUCGAGCGGAUGAAGGGAGCUUGCUUCUGGAUUCAGCGGCGGACGGGUGAGUAAUGCCUAGGAAUCUGCCUGGUAGUGGGGGACAACGUUUCGAAAGGAACGCUAAUACCGCAUACGUCCUACGGGAGAAAACAGGGGACCUUCGGGCCUUGCGCUAUCAGAUGAGCCUAGGUCGGAUUAGCUAGUUGGUGAGGUAAUGGCUCACCAAGGCGACGAUCCGUAACUGGUCUGAGAGGAUGAGCAGUCACACUGGAACUGAGACACGGUCCAGACUCCUACGGGAGGCAGCAGUGGGGAAUAUUGGACAAUGGGCGAAAGCCUGAUCCAGCCAUGCCGCGUGUGUGAAGAAGGUCUUCGGAUUGUAAAGCACUUUAAGUUGGGAGGAAGGGUUGUAGAUUAAUACUCUGCAAUUUUGACGUUACCGACAGAAUAAGCACUGGCUAACUCUGUGCCAGCCGCCGCCGUAAAAC